AUCGCUUCUUGGCCUGUUUGGCUGAGAUCAAGUGGAGUAACUGUUCUUAUCAGUUUAAUAUCUGGCAUGCCCUCAAUUUGAGUAUGUAAUAGAAGAUUUUUGGUACAAGGAGAUGGAGUAUGGAGCUUGCUCUAUUCACUCCAUGCAGUCACCUGUUAUUGCCCCUUUGGGGGUAGCUCUCAGU